rnacentral:misc_RNA from 1 species
GAUGAAGAACGUAGCGAAAUGCGAUAAGUAAUGUGAAUUGCAGAAUUCAGUGAAUCAUCGAAUCUUUGAACGCACAUUGCGCCCGCCAGUAUUCUGGCGGGCAUGCCUGUUCGAGCGUCAUUUCAACCAUCAAGCCCUAGGCUUGUGUUGGGGACCUGCGGCUGCCGCAGGCCCUGAAAACCAGUGGCGGGCUCGCUGUCACACCGGGCGUAGUAGAUUUUAUCUCGCUCAGGGCGUGCUGCGGGUUCCGGCCGUUAAAAAGCCUUUUUUACCCAAGGUUGACCUCGGAUCAGGUAGGAAGACCCGCUGAACUUAAGCAUAUCAAUAAGCGGAGGA